CCUACGGGAGGCAGCAGUAGGGAAUCAUCCGCAAUGGGCGAAAGCCUGACGGUGCAACGCCGCGUGAACGAUGAAGGUUUUCGGAUGGUAAAGUUCUGUUAUGAGGGAGAACAAGUGCCGUUCGAAUAGGUCGGCACCUUGACGGUACCUCACGAGAAAGCCCCGGCUAACUACGUGCCAGCAGCCCCGGUAAUACGUAGGGGGCAAGCGUUGUCGGA
rnacentral:rRNA from 1 species